rnacentral:rRNA from 1 species
GAUGAACGCUGGCGGCGUGCCUAAUACAUGCAAGUCGAGCGAACGGACGAGAAGCUUGCUUCUCUGAUGUUAGCGGCGGACGGGUGAGUAACACGUGGAUAACCUACCUAUAAGACUGGGAUAACUUCGGGAAACCGGAGCUAAUACCGGAUGAUAUUUUGAACCGCAUUGUUCAAAAGUGAAAGACGGUCUUUCUGUCACUUAUAGAUGGAUCCGCGCUGCAUUAGCUAGUUGGUAAGGUAACGGCUUACCAAGGCAACGAUGCAUAGCCGACCUGAGAGGGUGAUCGGCCACACUGGAACUGAGACACGGUCCAGACUCCUACGGGAGGCAGCAGUAGGGAAUCUUCCGCAAUGGGCGAAAGCCUGACGGAGAAACGCCGCGUGAGUGAUGAAGGUCUUCGGAUCGUAAAACUCUGUUAUUAGGGAAGAACAUAUGUGUAAGUAACUGUGCACAUCUUGACGGUACCUAAUCAGAAAGCCACGGCUAACUACGUG